ACCCUCUCCCUCCUUUGUACUGCUUCCCUCCCCACCAGUCCAUUUUUUUAUCCUUCUACUCCCCUAUAGGGUGCAAAUCUAUUCUCUUCCCCAAUGGAUUGGAUUGUUCUUCCCUCUUUGGGUCAGUUUCAAAGCAGGGAUCAAGGUGAGUCCUACGGAGUAAGCCCUUUGCCGAAGUUCAGCUGGUGUGGGCCAAAUGAUCCCCGAACCAAAACAAAACAAAAAACAAAAAACCUCCUCCUCUACAGUCUGUGUUGAAUGCCUGGAGACUGGCCCAGGUUACUUUCAAGAUGAAGAAAUUGAAGCCUAGAGAAAAGAAGCAACUUGUUCAACCAUACAAGCAGUAUCUGGUAAAGUUUGAACUUGAACCUAGAUCAUCUGAUUCAAAAUUCAGUGCAAUUAUCCCAUGAUUUUUAGAGGUGUCAACACUUUAAAUAAAUAGAGGAAUCCUUUUGGAACA
rnacentral:lncRNA from 1 species